rnacentral:rRNA from 1 species
ACGGUGAAGAGGAGCUUGCUCCUCGGAACAGUGGCGGACGGGUGAGUAACACGUGAGCAACCUGGCUCUAAGAGGGGGACAACAGUUGGAAACGACUGCUAAUACCGCAUAACGUAUCGGGAUGGCAUCUUCCUGAUACCAAAGAUUUUAUCGCUUAGAGAUGGGCUCGCGUCUGAUUAGAUAGUUGGCGGGGUAACGGCCCACCAAGUCGACGAUCAGUAGCCGGACUGAGAGGUUGAACGGCCACAUUGGGACUGAGACACGGCCCAGACUCCUACGGGAGGCAGCAGUGGGGGAUAUUGGACAAUGGGGGCAACCCUGAUCCAGCGACGCCGCGUGAGGGAAGAAGGUUUUCGGAUUGUAAACCUCUGUUGACGGAGAAAAAAAUGAUGGUAUCCGUUUAGAAAGCCACGGCUAACUACGCGCCAGCAGCCGCGGUAAUACGUAGGUGGCAAGCGUUGUCCGGAAUUACUGGGUGUAAAGGGAGUGUAGGCGGGAUAUCAAGUCAGAAGUGAAAAUUACGGGCUCAACUCGUAACCUGCUUUUGAAACUGACAUUCUUGAGUGAAGUAGAGGCAAGCGGAAUUCCUAGUGUAGCGGUGAAAUGCGUAGAUAUUAGGAGGAACACCAGUGG